AAUUCGAUUAGAGUUUGAUCCUGGCUCAGGACGAACGCUGGCGGCGUGCUUAACACAUGCAAGUCGAGCGAUGAAGCUCCUUCGGGAGUGGAUUAGCGGCGGACGGGUGAGUAACACGUGGGUAACCUGCCUCAUAGAGGGGAAUAGCCUUUCGAAAGGAAGAUUAAUACCGCAUAAGAUUGUAGCUUCGCAUGAAGCAGCAAUUAAAGGAGUAAUCCGCUAUGAGAUGGACCCGCGUCGCAUUAGCUAGUUGGUGAGGUAACGGCUCACCAAGGCGACGAUGCGUAGCCGACCUGAGAGGGUGAUCGGCCACAUUGGGACUGAGACACGGCCCAGACUCCUACGGGAGGCAGCAGUGGGGAAUAUUGCACAAUGGGGGAAACCCUGAUGCAGCAACGCCGCGUGAGUGAUGACGGUCUUCGGAUUGUAAAGCUCUGUCUUCAGGGACGAUAAUGACGGUACCUGAGGAGGAAGCCACGGCUAACUACGUGCCAGCAGCCGCGGUAAUACGUAGGUGGCAAGCGUUGUCCGGAUUUACUGGGCGUAAAGGGAGCGUAGGUGGAUAUUUAAGUGGGAUGUGAAAUACUCGGGCUUAACCUGGGUGCUGCAUUCCAAACUGGAUAUCUAGAGUGCAGGAGAGGAAAGUAGAAUUCCUAGUGUAGCGGUGAAAUGCGUAGAGAUUAGGAAGAAUACCAGUGGCGAAGGCGACUUUCUGGACUGUAACUGACA
rnacentral:rRNA from 1 species